rnacentral:lncRNA from 1 species
UAGCCACAGGGUUCUUUAGAGGCCACUUUCUUCAAGUCUCUAAUUUUGCAUAUGAGAAACACUAAGACUCAGCAGAUAAGGAUGGAGGCGACUCAACAUCACACUGAGACAGAUAUGAGCCCUGCAUUUCUGAAUGCCUUGAAAGAAAAACCAGCAAGUUGGGAGGGCCGUGUCUCCUUAUCAUCUUCCAGGAAUUCAAAACCGUGAUUUCCAGUUUCCAAAUGCAACUCAAGCUCCAUCACCCUGUACAUCUUGCACGGUUUCUCCAGCAUAUCCUGAUCGCCACCUCCAGACCCUUCUGAUAGAUUCAUUACCUGAAUCUAUUUGAUUCAUAAUUAUUUUCAAAUUGGAAAUGGAAAAGUAUUUUCUACUCCAGAAUCAAAAUUACCCCACAUGGAUGAAGCUGUACUACAGAAAGAAAUAAUAAUGUUGGCACCCAGAGAGAAAGGAUAGUCAGAGAUGCAGAAAGCAAGACUGCUAAUGGAGUUUCAAACUUGGAUUCCAAUUACUCUCCCGGACUUCCUGUAAUUCAAAUAUCAGCUUCUCCUUUGAUUAUGUGACCUUACUAGAUGUCCUGCCAAUAAAUUCACUUCUUAUCUAA